rnacentral:lncRNA from 1 species
CCAGGGGGUGCCUCCUCUCCCAGAGCUGACGAGUGAGACAUUGUCUCAUGUAGUUCCUUCUGUGGACGUUUGGAGUCAAGAAGUCAAUCGUUCUGAUAACUACAGAUUGGAUUCCUAAAGGUGCAAGAAAAAAAAAAAGAACAAUUUUCAGAGCACAGAGAACAGGAAUAAAGUCUGAAGAUAAGUUCUGCAAAGCAGAGAGAGGUUUCCUGGGAACCAAGACAUUCCAGAGUAAUUUGAAUGAGAGGAGAACCAGCUUGAAGGAUACAAAGUAUCCUUUUAUUAGGAAUGUCAAAGUAGUGAAACAAGAAUGACAAAAAACAGAAGCAGCUUCACUUGGCUAUAAUUAAUUUGCAGUGGGUGGGAAAGGCAGGCACCAAGCCAGCAUUACUUUAUAAAUAUUAAGUCUUGGUGGUAAUGUUGUGAAAGACAUAUAGUAAGGUUGCAUCAGUGUGGUCAAACAUCACUAACUGGGUGGCACUGUCUGGAAGGGUAUUUAGAAGACAUCAUUCUACAACUUGAUCCACAAUGCUUAGAGCAUAGAGUAUAGCAGUAAUCUGGAACAAGGGUUUCUUUAUGCAAGUAACAUGUGCAUAGAUAGCCCUAACAAUACUAAUAUAAGAGGGUAGCCUGUUCUUUUAUCAUCUAGCAUCUCAGUAGGACUCCUGCUAGAAGCACACUUUUCUAUCUCUAUUCUGUAGGUUUCUGACCCACUGUGCUGCUUCCUUACAUAUUACAGCUGUGCAUUCAGGAACUGAGUGUUAUGGUAUUUCCUGCUAUAUAGCAAAGGACUUGAAAAGUAGAAAUAACCUGUUUAAGAAUGUUGGGGGCUGGAGAGAUGGCUCGGUGGUUAAGAGCAGCUCAUAACUAUCUGUAGCUCCAGUCCCAGAGGAUCCGACAGCCUCACACAGACAACGUCAAUGACUGUAAAGAAUUUCAAAAUAUAUUCCUGAAAAACAGUGUUAGGAAUUGCUUGCGGUUACCUCCGUUUCUCUGCCUCCCUUUUCAGACGGUGAUUAUGUUGGUAGUGUCUCUCUUCAGGAGAAGCAAUCAGUAAACCAAG